AUCCAGCUGACGAGUCCCGAAUAGGACAAGAUGCUCAUCGUGGAU
rnacentral:hammerhead_ribozyme from 1 species